GAUGAAGAACGUAGCGAAAUGCGAUAAGUAAUGUGAAUUGCAGAAUCCAGUGAAUCAUCGAAUCUUUGAACGCACAUUGCGCCCGCCAGCAUUCUGGCGGGCAUGCCUGUUCGAGCGUCAUUCCAACCCUCGACCUCCCUUUGGGGAAGUCGGCGUUGGGGACCGGCAGCACACCGCCGGCCCUGAAAUGGAGUGGCGGCCCGUCCGCGGCGACCUCUGCGUAGUAAUCCAACUCGCACCGGAACCCCGACGCGGCCACGCCGUAAAACGCCCAACUUCUGAACGUUGACCUCGAAUCAGGUAGGACUACCCGCUGAACUUAAGCAUAUCAAUAAGCGGAGGA
rnacentral:misc_RNA from 1 species